rnacentral:rRNA from 1 species
GUGGGGAAUAUUGCACAAUGGGCGAAAGCCUGAUGCAGCAACGCCGCGUGAAGGAAGAAGGCCCUUGGGUCGUAAACUUCUGUUCUAAGGGAAGAUAAUGACGGUACCUUAGGAGCAAGUCCCGGCUAACUACGAGCCAGCAGCCGCGGUAAUACGUAGGGGGCGAGCGUUAUCCGGAAUUAUUGGGCGUAAAGAGUAAGUCGGUGGUUAUCUACGCGAGGGGUUUAAGGCAAUAGCUCAACUAUUGUUUGCCCCGCGAACUGGGUGACUUGAGUGCUGGAGAGGAAAGCGGAAUUCCUAGUGUAGCGGUGAAAUGCGUAGAUAUUAGGAGGAACAUCAGUGGCGAAGGCGGCUUUCUGGACAGUAACUGACACUGAGGUACGAAAGUGUGGGGAGCAAACAGGAUUAGAAACCCCUGUAGUCC